AGCGAUGUGCUGAUACAGGGGAGACAGAUGGACAUCUGGGUAUUAGGUGAAGGAGGGGUUGAGGUCAGGAGGAGAGGAGAGCGAUGUGUUGAUACAGGGGAGACAGAUGGACAUCUGGGUAUUAGGUGAAGGAGGGGUUGAGGUCAGGAGGUGAGGAGAGCGAUGUGCUGAUACAGGGGAGACAGAUGGACAUCUGGGUAUUAGGUGAAGGAGGGGUUGAGGUCAGGAGGAGAGGAGAGCGAUGUGCUGAUACAGGGGAGACAGAUGGACAUCUGGGUAUUAGGUGAAGGAGGGGUUGAGGUCAGGAGGUGAGGAGAGCGAUGUGCUGAUACAGGGGAGACAGAUGGACAUCUGUGGAUUAGGUGAAGGAGGGGUUGAGGUCAGGAGAGCGAUGUGCUGAUACAGGGGAGACAGAUGGACAUCUGUGGAUUAGGUGAAGGAGGGGUUGAGGUCAGGAGAGCGAUGUGUUGAUACAGGGGAGACAGAUGGACAUCUGGGUAUUAGGUGAAGGAGGGGUUGAGGUCAGGAGAGCGAUGUGCUGAUACAGGGGAGACAGAUGGACAUCUGUGGAUUAGGUGAAGGAGGGGUUGAGGUCAGGAGAGCGAUGUGCUGAUACAGGGGAGACAGAUGGACAUCUGUGGAUUAGGUGAAGGAGGGGUUGAGGUCAGGAGGAGAGGAGAGCGAUGUGCUGAUACAGGGGAGACAGAUGGACAUCUGGGUAUUAGGUGAAGGAGGGGUUGAGGUCAGGAGGAGAGGAGAGCGAUGUGCUGAUACAGGGGAGACAGAUGGACAUCUGGGUAUUAGGUGAAGGAGGGGUUGAGGUCAGGAGGAGAGGAGAGGAGAGGAUGUGUUGAUACAGGGAGACAGAUGGACAUCUGGGUAUUAGGUG